rnacentral:rRNA from 1 species
GAUCAUGGCUCAGGAUGAACGCUAGCUACAGGCUUAACACAUGCAAGUCGAGGGGCAGCAUGGUCUUAGCUUGCUAAGACUGAUGGCGACCGGCGCACGGGUGAGUAACACGUAUCCAACCUGCCGUCUACUCUUGGACAGCCUUCUGAAAGGAAGAUUAAUACAAGAUGGCAUCAUGAGUCCGCAUGUUCAUAUGAUUAAGGNUUCCGGUAGACGA